CAGAGCUGGGGCCUGAGCAAGGAAAUUGGACGCGAGGGAUUUGAAGCCAGUUCGCGCAGACUCACAGCUCCCCUUCAAGGUACCCAGGAGCUUUAAUCGGGAUGCUGGUUUUCUCCAGAGCCUGUGGUCACUUCUGCUGUUUGAUGCCAGAUGGAACCUUAAGUACAGGUGUCUAGCUGGUUAGCGUCUCAUUCUCAGGAUGUUGUAUGUACGGGGAAGACUUCAAAGCCCAGACCUAACAUUGCGCCCUGAAAUCUUUGUGUUUUGAAGAGGAGGUGGAACAUGGACUGCUUGGAAGCAGACCUGGAGAAACUGGACUGAACUGCAGGAGGAAGUGUGUCACUGGGGGUGGGCCUUGAGGUUCCAGAUGCUCUAGCCAGGCCCAGUGUCUCUCUUCCUGCUUCCUGACAAUCCAGAUGUAGAACUCUCAGCUCCUUCUCCAGCACCAUGUCUGCCUGCGUGCUGCCUUGCUUCCUGCCAUGAAGAUAAUGGACUAAACCUCCGAAAUGGUAAGCCAGCCCCAUUUAAAUGUUUUCCUUUAUUAGAGUUGCCACAGUCAUGCUGUCUUGUCACAGCAACAGAAACCCUAAAACACCACUGACCUAGUGCCAAGUGAGGCUACCUCAGAGAACUUUGGGGUUACAGGGUCACAAGUGGGACUAACCUCCAUCUCAUAUUUUGUUUUCACUUCUCUUUGGCAUAAAGAGAUAAAGACAUAAAGGUUGAAUCAUCAUAGGCCCAAACAAAAACACCAACACAAGGCAUAGAGAGGUUAAGAGCCUUGCCUUAGGUCACGGCGCUAAGAGAAUGCUGAAGCCAGACCUCAACCCAAGCCUGUCUCCCCGUCACACACUUAACCAUGGAAUGCUGAGAACUUAUAUAUAUAUAUCUCAGAUGUCAUCCUACUGGCUUUAGAAGGUGUUAGAACGGGACUCGGACCACGUGCAGGUGAAGUCCCAAGACUCCAAGGAGGCUCUUUCUUUGUGCUCUGAUAAAGGUGUGGAAUGUGUUAAGGCAGUCAAGAAUGGGAGUAAAGCUAUGAACCAUAGCUGCAAAGGUAGUUUGCAUUUACUCUGGGCAAAGCAUUUAUUGGCUAUUCUGGGCACACAGAGAUCAAAUUGCAUACAUUUGCCAACCCUUUCCCUGACCAUUUCCAAAAGGAGCAUGUGGCUAAUGGUGGACAUCAUGUGGUGCAAUCAGCUGAGAAUAGUUAACCAGUGAGAGUUUAUCUGGUUCUUCAUUGAGGGCUGAUUCCUAAGACCUGAGGUGGCUUUAUAUAUAUAUAUAUAUAUAUAUAUAUAUAUAUAUAUAUAUAUAUAUAUAGUUUUGGUGCUUAUUCUGGAUCUUGCUCUGUAGACCAGGCUGGUCUCAAACUCACAGAGAUUCACCUGCUUCUGCCUCCUGAGUGCUGAGAUUAAAGGCAUGCACCCAGCUUGUUUUUUUGUUUUUUAAUAAUUGAUCGUGUUUACAAAAAGAGGGGGAUUAAAAAGACACACACACACACACACACACCAGUGUUACAAAACCUUGUAUUAAUCAUUUCCCUUCACUCUCAAUAUAACCAUAUGAAAUAUAGCCAUGAUUCUUAAUUCUGUAGGAGGAAAUGAAUAAUAAAUACAUUGUAGCAAGUUUAGACCACAAGGGUGUUGUCACUGGUAACAACAUUUGAAAACUGUACACUUGCAAAGAACAGCAUCUUCAAACAUUAGUAUAUCUGUAUAUCAGUAAAGCUUUUACAUGUAACAAACAUGCUCUUUCCAUAUAUGACAAAUUUAAAAAAUAUGCAUUGCUUGGCAACAUGAACUAGGCAAAAAUAUUUCUUUGUUCACUAACUUUAUACAGGAGAACAGGACGAAAGGCAUGCAUGUACAAUACAGAUGCCUGUACAGGGCAUGCAACGAAGGAAGCCUUUUGAAGGUCAGCUUACGUUAGGCCUAAAUACAUGAGGGUAUAUAUAUUCAUAAGGGAGGAAGUCUUCUGUUGGCCAUUACUAACAUUCCUGCUUUCUCCUUGCUCCUCCCAGAGGGAUACACAUUCACCUUUAAGUCAAGAUAAAGGAAUUAAAAAAAAAAAAAGUCAUUUUGCAAACAUCUCUGAUGAGU